rnacentral:rRNA from 1 species
GACGAACGCUGGCGGCGUGCUUAACACAUGCAAGUCGAACGCUGAAGCUCAGCUUGCUGGGUGGCUGAGUGGCGAACGGGUGAGUAACACGUGAGUAACCUGCCCUCUUCUUUGGGAUAACGCCCGGAAACGGGUGCUAAUACUGGAUAUUCACUGAUUCUCGCAUGGGGGUUGGUGGAAAGGUUUUUUCUGGUGGGGGAUGGGCUCGCGGCCUAUCAGCUUGUUGGAGGGGUGAUGGCCUACCAAGGCUUUGACGGGUAGCCGGCCUGAGAGGGUGACCGGUCACAUUGGGACUGAGAUACGGCCCAGACUCCUACGGGAGGCAGCAGUGGGGAAUAUUGCACAAUGGGCGAAAGCCUGAUGCAGCGACGCCGCGUGAGGGAUGGAGGCCUUCGGGUUGUAAACCUCUUUCGCUCAUGGUCAAGCCGCAGCUUUGGGUUGUGGUGAGGGUAGUGGGUAAAGAAGCGCCGGCUAACUACGUG